rnacentral:rRNA from 1 species
UUUUCCUACGGGAGGCAGCAGUGAGGAAUAUUGGUCAAUGGACGCAAGUCCGAACCAGCCAUGCCGCGUGCAGGAUGACGGCUCUAUGAUUUGUAAACUGCUUUUGUACGAGGGUAAACCCCGAUACGUGUAUCGGGUUGAAAGUAUCGUACGAAUAAGGAUCGGCUAACUCCGUGCCAGCAGCCGCGGUAAUACGGAGGAUCCGCGCGUUAUCCGGUUUUAUUGGGUUUAAAGGGUGCGUAGGCGGUUUGAUACGUUA